CGGCGGACGGGUGAGUAAUGCCUAGGAAUCUGCCUGGUAGUGGGGGACGAACGUUUCGAAAGGAACGCUAAUACCGCAUACGUCCUACGGNGAAAGCAGGGACCUUCGGGCCUUGCGCUAUCAGAUGAGCCUAGGUCGGAUUAGCUAGUUGGUGAGGUAAUGGCUCACCAAGGCGACGAUCCGUAACUGGUCUGAGAGGAUGAUCAGUCACACUGGAACUGAGACACGGUCCAGACUCCUACGGGAGGCAGCAGCC
rnacentral:rRNA from 1 species